rnacentral:lncRNA from 1 species
AGGUUCCAUCACUGAGUUAAAGACAAUUGAUUUCUAAUAAUUUGGUGAAAACCAUUGCUAUAGUUUAGAUGUGUUGACAUUAAAUAGCUUUUGAUUUCUGUUUUGUUCCAUAGUGCUAAAAUGGUGCUGGAGGCAAUUAGCUGCAUUUUGAACAUGGCAAGUUCACUCUGAAUCACGCCUUGUCAUGACUUAAGUUACAACAUAACUGAGCAGUUUUUAUACAUGUAUGCCACCCAUCCCUGGUCCAUCCCUUCACCAGCUCCAUGCCAGGAGGAGAUAAAUUAAGCUGGAGGUAAGCCU